CAGACAAUGUGCAGCUGACUCCACCAGAGCUCCCAUAGGAUCACAGUUCAUAAAAAGUUGUGUAAUUCCAAUGUGUUGAAUUCAUAGUUCUCAUGUAAAAUUAGUGACUACAGUUUCCCCAAAAGACCUCGUACAUAGCCACUACCAAGUGGGCAGAGCUUAUCAGUUUAAUGACUGACCAAGAGGCUGACAUCUUCUCUGAUUGGCUGAUAGAUGAUGAGCCAAUCAUGGCUGAUUUCUGAAUAUAUCUCAUGUAAGUGUUUAUAUCCAUUUCUGCCGUGAUUGUUAAUGUCUUCUUGCGAGAACAAGCUUAUUUACAUGUGAUUUUCAUUUCAUGUCUUAUUUCAGGAAAACACCAUAAUUCAGAAACWCUGUUUUUUCAGCAGAAUACAGACAAAGAUCUGCACACAUUUGUUGAAAUGCAGAUGGUGAUACAAUAAAAUGCUUAGUGUCUUUUUUUGUUGCCUCUAUUUACAUCUGGUGGUGGAAUUUUCUCAUUCUUCACUUAGGAGUUCCAGCAUCGCCCCCCUGCCUCUUGCCACUCCCUUGCCCCCAAGGUCAAUGUUCUCCUGGGGCCCAAGGUCAGAAACCUGACCUGACAUCGCUCCAGUGUUUCUUUCUUCAGUCAUCCUGAAAGGAGGGGAGCUGUGGCGGCACAGGGGCAAAGCACAACCCACGUAUGAAGCCUUCAGUCCUUGUGGUGSUAGUUGCAGGUUCGAUUCCUGGUCUGGUGAUAUUUGCCGCAUGUUUUUCCUCUCUCUCUCUUUACCCUCUUUCCCGUCAGACUACUUUCAAAUAAAGGCCACUAGAGCCAACAAAAUAAAAAUGUGUUCAAGGAAUCCUGGAGUCCCCUGUCACCUCCCUCUGUUUGGCUGGAGAGAUGAGGAAAUGGAGAACCUUGAUGUUUUGGGCUUGAUCCUUUUUUAUCUUUAUCGGGGCCACCAUUCUCCUGAGAACACUCUAAAACUUAGAAGUCAGUGAAUUUCCAGCCAUGGAUUCGAAGCUAUACKUCAGCACCUCAGUAAAAUCUGGAUCUAAACAGACACAGAUAAAUUACCAARACUUAUUKUACCGAACAGAUUCACGUUGACCACAAUCUGGAUCAGGAGUCAAAUGUUCUUCACUUUUGUAAAUACAAACUGCUUUACUUCAGUACUUCGAAUAUUCAAAAACCUCUGCAGUUUAAGUCUUCAAUCUCAAACCCAGUGCGAGCGCCRGGAGACGUUUUGAGUACAAGUGUUACACGUUUU